rnacentral:rRNA from 1 species
UACAGAGGUCUCAAGCGUUGUUCGGAUUCAUUGGGCGUAAAGGGUGCGUAGGCGGCGGGGCAAGUCAGGUGUGAAAUCUCGGGGCUCAACUCCGAAACUGCAUUUGAUACUGCCUUGCUAGAGUACUGGAGAGGAGAUUGGAAUUUACGGUGUAGCAGUGAAAUGCGUAGAUAUCGUAAGGAAGACCAGUGGCGAAGGCGAAUCUCUGGACAGUUACUGACGCUGAGGCACGAAGGCCAGGGGAGCAAACGGG